CAGUAGCCGCGGUAAUACGGAGGGGGCUAGCGUUGUUCGGAAUUACUGGGCGUAAAGCGUGCGUAGGCGGUGAGUUAAGUCUGCUGUGAAAUCCCCGGGCUCAACCUGGGAAUGGCAGUGGAUACUGGCUCGCUAGAGUGUGUCAGAGGAUGGUGGAAUUCCCGGUGUAGCGGUGAAAUGCGUAGAGAUCGGGAGGAACAUCAGUGGCGAAGGCGGCCAUCUGGGACAACACUGACGCUGAGGCACGAAAGCGUGGGGAGCAAACAGGAUUAGAUACCCCAGUAGUCCCUGUCUCUUAUAC
rnacentral:rRNA from 1 species